AGGCGAAACGUGAAGCGGGCUCGCGUCGUCGAUCGGUGGCUCGAUCGGCCUGACGAUGGGAGCCAACG
rnacentral:hammerhead_ribozyme from 1 species